UUGUCCAGCCUGGAAAUAGGCCCAACUGCCGUGUUUCUGCAAAUCAAACGACGUGCUUAACACGUAGACCAAUUUUCGUAGACAUAUAAAUCCGCCGUCGCACGCACGCACGCAUCUCUUCCAUCUCUUUAUUCUACCGGCGGCGGCGACGGCGACAUCAACGCGAUAAUGGACGACAACUGCUGCGCCACGUACGACCAGGGCAACGACCGCUGCGACCCGCACGACCAUUGCCACCACCACCACAGCCCGGCGGCGAGCGGCGACGACGCAGACCGCACAUGGUGGCCGGGCCUGAAGGAUAACGAUCUGGAGUCGGCGAGGAUGCCGAUCUGGCCAUCCUCGGCAAGGGAGAGCAAGAGGCGGCCACCGGCGUCGGCAGCGGCGCCGCUCAUCAAGCCCGAGGCCGAGGCCGACGAUAGUUCCAAGGUACGCACGCACUCACGCUCGUGAUGUUCUAGGGCAGCCGGUUACUAGUAGUGCAAAAUUAUGAUCGUGCUCACGUAGGUAAGUUACGACUACGUACGCACGGAUUUCAUGGUGAACUCACAAGGAGCUAUGUAUGAAGAAUUGUAGUCUAAUUUGCUUGUUGUUGGGGUGCAGAGCCAUAUGGAGGGUGCGGUGUGCUGCUUCGUGGUGGUGGUGGUGCUCAUACUGGUACUCAUCUUUUCGUGAUCGAUCGAAAUCAUCCAGCUGCAGGGACAGUGGUGCAAUCUGCAUGCAUGUAUAAUAACUUGCUAGGCAUUAUUCGGAACAUUAUACUUCUUCCGUUCCUAAAUAUUUAGUCAUUUUAGAAAUUUCAUUAUGAACUACAUGAUGUGUACGUGUGAGCAGGGAAGGAGCACCCAACCAUUGAAUACAUCGUCAUUAGAGCACAUCAAGCAAGCUGUGUUUCUCUGCAGGAAGAAGAAAGGCAAACCGUUUUGUCUUGUAAAUAUCUAGGCUUUGGGUUUUGGGCUUUACGUUCCUUAGUAUUACUGGAUGGUUAAGUGAUGGUGAACCAUAUGGGGGUUGUGUAGGUAGCACACAGGUUAGGUUUUUCUCAAAAAUAAGAUGCAGGUUGCCUAAAAAAAAGGUAGCAUGCAAGUUAAAUCAUUAAUACUAGCAGGAAUUGGCUUUUAUACUGAAAAGCAUGAAUUAUCCAGAAAACAAUAUUCCAAGGGAAAAUUAUCAUUUUUAAAUAUUGAUGUACAUUUUAAUUAUUGAUGUUCAUUUUUAAAUAUCAUAUAUUGGUCAUAAUUUGUUAUUCAGAGAUCAUAAAUUUUAUAUUAUACAACU
rnacentral:lncRNA from 1 species